AUUGAACGCUGGCGGCAUGCCUUACACAUGCAAGUCGAACGGUAACAGGUUAAGCUGACGAGUGGCGAACGGGUGAGUAAUGUAUCGGAACGUGCCCAGUCGUGGGGGAUAACUACUCGAACGAGUGGCUAAUACCGCAUACGACCUGAGGGUGAAAGCGGGGGACCGUAAGGCCUCGCGCGAUUGGAGCGGCCGAUAUCAGAUUACCUAGUUGGUGGGGUAAAAGCCCACCAAGGGGACGAUCUGUAGCUGGUCUGAGAGGACGACCAGCCACACUGGGACUGAGACACGGCCCAGACUCCUACGGGAGGCAGCAGUGGGGAAUUUUGGACAAUGGACGCAAGUCUGAUCCAGCCAUGCCGCGUGCGGGAAGAAGGCCUUCGGGUUGUAAACCGCUUUUGUCAGGGAAGAAACGAGUUUCUCUAAUACAGAGACUUAAUGACGGUACCUGAAGAAUAAGCACCGGCUAACUACGUGCCAGCAGCCGCCGUAAAAC
rnacentral:rRNA from 1 species